rnacentral:snoRNA from 1 species
GGGCGACAGAGUGGGACUCCAACUAAAAACAACAACAACAAAAAAACCAUGCUCAAUAGGAUUACACUUAGGCCC